UGAUCUACUGGUUGUAACAGCUUGUGGGAAAGCAUCACUGGACCAAUCAGGCGAGAGAAGACAGAGAGGACUGAGGACUAAAACGAAAAUACUCUGCCUGCCAAAAAAGGCAGACGAUCCAGUGGCCCCAGGUUUACACACCAUCUGCUGGUUUGAGGCAGACCGACCGCUGGGGAGAUGGACCUCACCUGGCACCAUUACUCUGGAUGUAACAGCUCGACUCUCCUGUCAAUCAAAACAUCAAUGACUCGAGAAGCGGACAGCGAGGUUUCUGGUGCCUGGCUGGAGACGAGAUUCUGAUUAUUCAAGAGCCAAAACAAAACGUCAGAAUAAAUAGUUAGAAGGCAGAUUUGUUUUCUAUUUGUUGUUGUUUUCAUUAUUAAUGCUCCAUAACACAAAAUUCAUCAGUGCUGUAACUCUUGAGUUGAAUAAAAUGUUCUUCUUUCAAUCUGUUAUUUCUGGAGUCUUUUUAUUUUUAACCAUAAUCAUUUCUGGAAACAUUAUAUAUUAAAGGAACGCCCACAUUUUUAAUAGAACUUCAUAACUGAUCAAAGCACAAACUGGAGA